AAAGGUGGGGCAGGAAUCAAGGUACCUGCAUCUCUGUUGCUGUAGUGGGGUUAUUUUUUCCUUGUUAUUUCCUUUUUCCUGUUACUAUUCUUAGGAGUAAUAAAAGCUGCUGGUCGCCAAGCAGAAGAGAAAAAUUCACAGAAUUUUAAUGAUGUACAACAAUUACCGAUUCUGUCUGGCUCUAUGUGCAUCCUUCCUCUACUGCCUGUGGCGGAGAAUAGUGUGAGAGGGACUGUUAAAAUCACUUAUGGUGCUUUUUCUGUGGCUUAGUGUAAGCUGGUGGCCUGCUAGCAUCCUUUCUGCUUCUGCACCCUCAGCUCUGCAUUAUGGGAGAGAAGUAAGCAGUAUCCUGUUGGAUCCCUCAUUAAGUCCAAACCCUCUCGACAGUCUCUCUUCCCCCUGUCUUGCAGCCACUGAACAGGAACUUGUUCUUCCAUUCCUCUCAGCAGUGCAGUCUGGAGAUCUCCAACCAUUUUGUUCUGUUAUCCUGCCAGUGCGCAACCGCAGUGGCAGUAAGGGAGCAGGUCCCUCGCUGUUUUGGGUAGGGGAACUUAAACUGCAAGACGGUUUCACAGCAAUCUGUUACAUAAUACUGCGCAAAGCGAACAGUAAUUAACGUGGAGGUGGAAAAGAUACCCUUACUACUCAGUGCAAAGCCGGCUUGUCUUUCCGACAGAGAUAGUUACCUCCUACCUCUUCAUUUCCAUGAGAGGCUCUCUCAGAAUCCUAAAGAUGAGAGAAAAUAAUUGGAAAAUUGUCUUUAAUCUUUCACAGAAUCUGGCAAUACAAUCAAAAGGUUGAGGCAAUGUUAUUCUGCCUUCUCAACUGCUUAAUAUUUGGAAACGGUGAGCAAAGAAACAAGCAAGUGGAAAACAACCCCAUGUCCGCUCCCCCAGGCUGCAGAAUUCUACAUUUUUCAUCAGACCAGCCAGACUCUCAUUUUGUGCCGCACUGGUGAAAAAACGAAGUAACCUUGUGAAAGAAAUGUAUUUUCCCUGCACAUCUGAAAUCACAGUGUUGUGCUGUGUGGAACUUAGGUGACUUAGGAAUCCUUUGGACUGCCUAGCUCCAGUUACUGGAGAGUUACUGCUAUUAUUGCAGAAUAUAAUGAGAUGAAACUCCCCUGAAGAUAUUCCCUGCCCAGGAAUUGAUGGGACUGCUCAUUUUGCUUUGUUACACCCUUUUUUAAAUGGCUCUUCAUAAAGAUUUGUUUUGCAGCAGUUUCAAGUUACAUGAGGGUAUGAUAACAAGAACAGUCUGGCUAAACCUCCUAGCUGAUGCUCAUCUGACUUAGACAAUGUAUAAUCAUAGAUAAAAAUACCCUGAGCUUGGUUACAUCCUAAAAAUACUCUUCAAAAUUCUUAGCAGCUGUUACUAGAAAUAGUUUACUAUUGGCUAGGAGGUACAGCAGAAGCUGAAAAAAAAAACAAAGACUAGAUGUAUAUUUUUUUCUCUCAAAUAUUUAUCUUGACUUAAAUACUCCACGUUCAGAUUAAAAUAUUUCAAGCACUUGCUCAUCUUAGGCUGCUUAUAAGGACUGAAGGGGACAAUUGGAUUAUUUUCUUAGGUUCCUUUCUUCUUACCCUUUCUGUUUUAUUAUCAGUAGCUGAAAUUAUAAAUGGUAUAGGAGAAGUAGAUAAGGACCAUAUAUUUUCAUAUUACAAAAAUAUCGGGGUACUUGGUGAAAUACAAAUGAUCGGAAACCUAUGGGAGAAAAAUGACUGUUUGGCGAGACUUCGAAACUUAUGGCAACAGGCUUUUGUUGGAAUCAAUAAAUUAAUGAAAUGAGAAAGAAAUCGAGCCACUGAAACUAUCCAGAUGCCUGGUUGUACUGAAAUGAGGAAAUUAUUGGUUCUGAAGUCCUGGGAUUAAGGUGAAGGAGUUAGACUUACCCACCAUCCUAAGAGCAUUGUAGGACUGAAGAAAGUAAGGAAAAGACCCACAGCCGUAUUUGGUUAUGCGUUUAUUUCUUUUUCAGUCAAGAACAUGUGCUAGCAAUCGAUAUUUAGUUGCCCAGGUGGUGACCAGCCUAGGCAUGGCACCUGUGCUUCUGGGACUGUCCAAGCCUAAGCUGCUUUUCUGAAAUAAAUCCCCUGAGAUGCCAUUGUGCAGGCCAGUACUUUUCUGCAGAGUGCCAGCCCAGCUUGUUCCCUUCAAUAGUCUUUGUAUUAGCUUUCUUCAGGGGGACCCUAAAAACUGCCUGCAUCACAAGAAACGCAGUCACAGGAGUGUUUAUUUGCAGAAACACUUUCUGUGUCCUUUCAAAAAUCUGAAGAAUUGUCACUAGAGUAUUACUGUCAGUGCGGUAUUUUUUUGCUUGAAAAAUUCUGAACAUCCUUUGAUUUUCUUUAAGUUUGAGGUUUUGCUUUUCACUGUAAGAACUAACUUUAAAAUCCACAAAAGCUAUAGAUCAUAUAUUUAAAUCUUAUUUACUGCUUUUGAAAUAAUUUGUUAUUGUUUCCCCCAAGACCAAAUGACUGUAUAUGUUUUGGAAGUGUCACUCUUACACAAAUGUUGCCUUAUGACACCUUUUAAAAUGUGGUAUGUACUUUACAUGCGUGUGUGUUCUGAAUGUGAACCAGUUCACUGGUAAACUUCCUAUAAUCCUCUCCAUUGUCAACCCCCUACAAUCACUGAAGUAGACUGUGUGUUUUGUGGAAGUCUUGGCAGAAAGUGCCUUUUGUAUGCAGUGAAAGCAGACGAUGGCAGGCGUGCUAAUCACCUUACCUUCGGGGUCUUCUGAAGCCAUAGCAGCAUUAAUCGUGUUACCAGCUGCACACAGUACUCUGACCUUCUGCCUGUGGAAAAGAUGCUUCUGUUUGCAGAGCACAGACGUGGUGUGGACACGAGUGUGACAUACUUUGCAUCAUGAUCUAAGUGCCUGAAUCUUGUUGCUGGAUGCUGCUCAAUGGCUGCUGUACAGCACCCUAUGGGCAGGUGCAUCUGCCCACUGGUUCCUUUUUGUGCAGGAGCUGUAAGAAUGAUGGCACUGCAUGGAAACGGGAUGCACAGGAGCUUAGAGCUUAUCAGCUGAGGGUUUGGAUGCUGCUUGGCACCUGCUGACACUCUGAAGUGCAUCUUUUUAGUUGGUAAAUUCCUUGUCCCCUCUGAUGUCUCUGUUUUUCAGUGCAGAAGGGAAGGUGGACUCUGAGCCGUGUGAGACCUUCAACUUGGAUGUCCUAGGUUGGCAAGCCGUCUUUGGAUAGUUGCUAGUACACUGAAACAGAUGUGGGAAGACUGGAAGAAUAGUUGUCCAUCUGUGCACAUGAAGUAGCGUGCAUCCUAUGUCAAAGAAUUGAUGUUGCUACAGGUGAAAUGAACAGUCCUGGAAAUGUAGACUUACCUUUGAGUUUAGAAGUAGUUUUUAUGAAUCUUAGGGGCCUAGUAUUACAGACUAGUCAGACACUGCUAGCAAAAUAUUUGCAAGAUUUGGGUCAUUGUUCAAAUAAUUAGCAGAGCAGAAGCUUCAUGAGAGCUGGUACUGUGGAGGACACCUAACUACAAGUAGCUGCAGUAUCAAACUGGAUGUCCAGAACAGUUGUUACAUAAUCUACAUGUAUAUUACAUUAGAUAAUCAGUAAUGUCUUAUCUGUUCCUAUUUUUAAGGUAUUGAGAUUCUUUUUUUUUUUUCAUACUAUUGUGUUUUAUUUUUGUAUUCAGAUGAGAAUGAGAUUUCUUUCUUUAUUUUCGCAGCUGCAUGUAAAUGAAUAGCAUUUCCUUUACCAAUUAUAAAAGGGAUUUGGUGAAAGGCAGAUUGUACAGUAGCCGCCUGCUUAGCUGACAGGUGAAACAUUUAUUAUGGGGCUGUAUUGUGUUUGUUUGUUUAUUAUUAAAAAUCCCUGGUAUCACAUGUCCGCUUCUAUAUUUUUGGCUUCUGAGUAAUCAAAGUCAUAAAUGAAACAGGUGUAAACUUUCCUGGUCUCUUUACAGUGUAGACGCUAUACCUGUAGGAAACUUAUGAUAAAAUAAAUAAAUAAAUCUCUUUUAAUAUUCUCCCAGUAUUUUUUUUUACUGUAACUGCAAUAUUUUUUUCCAUUUUGUAAAGUCAAAAGCAUGAGAGCUGUUAAAAUUGUGGAGUUAGUAAUUGUCUUUUUGUUUUGAUAGCUGUACAGUGUUACUGCAGAGUAAAAAUCAAGCAGAACAGUCAGUAAUGUUAAUAUACAGUUAAAUUUUAAAACGUCAUGGGAGAAGCCAAGGGAAGACCUUACAAUUCAUAUCAGAGAAGCAGGCAAAUAGGUGAGGUCUGUUAAGGAACUGAAAAACCAGGAAGACUUAGGAAUAUUCCCUGGCCCCUUGGC